rnacentral:rRNA from 1 species
AGUGAACGCUGGCGGCAGGCCUAACACAUGCAAGUCGAACGGCAGCACAGUAAGAGCUUGCUCUUACGGGUGGCGAGUGGCGGACGGGUGAGGAAUACAUCGGAAUCUACUUUUUCGUGGGGGAUAACGUAGGGAAACUUACGCUAAUACCGCAUACGACCUACGGGUGAAAGCAGGGGAUCUUCGGACCUUGCGCGAUUGAAUGAGCCGAUGUCGGAUUAGCUAGUUGGCGGGGUAAAGGCCCACCAAGGCGACGAUCCGUAGCUGGUCUGAGAGGAGGAUCGGCCACACUGGAACGGAGACACGGUCCAGACUCCUACGGGAGGCAGCAGUGGGGAAUAUUGGACAAUGGGCGCAAGCCUGAUCCAGCCAUACCGCGUGGGUGAAGAAGGCCUUCGGGUUGUAAAGCCCUUUUGUUGGGAAAGAAAAGCAGCAGGUUAAUACCCCGCUGUUCUGACGGUACCCAAAGAAUAAGCACCGGCUAACUUCGUG